rnacentral:ncRNA from 1 species
UAUACUAGGGGUGCUAAAUCCAUAAAUUUGGCUGAGAGUGAAUAGAUCGGUAUUCUAAACCCUUAACCUGAUCCAGAUAAUGCUGGCGUAGGAAAGUUUGUAAUA